rnacentral:sRNA from 1 species
AGUAAAUCUUAGAUUCCCUUGGCCUGUACUGCCUGCCUCUGUUACAACUGCCUUAGAGUUUGGAGAAGAGAUGGAAAGAUCUAUACAAUUCGUCCCUGGGGAUGAGCCCAGGGAGAAGAUGGACUUGGUCACCUACUUUGGAAAGAGACCCCCAGGCGUGCUGCAUUGCACAACCAAGUUUUGUGACUACGGGAAGGCUCCCGGGGCAGAGGAGUACGCUCAACAAGAUGUGUUAAAGAAAUCUUACUCCAAGGCCUUCACACUGACCAUCUCUGCCCUCUUUGUGACACCCAAGACGACUGGGGCCCGGGUGGAGUUAAGCGAGCAGCAACUGCAGUUGUGGCCGAGUGAUGUGGACAAGCUGUCACCCACUGACAACCUGCCGCGGGGGAGCCGCGCCCACAUCACCCUCGGCUGUGCAGCUGACGUAGAGGCCGUGCAGACGGGCCUUGACCUCUUAGAGAUUCUGCGGCAGGAGAAGGGGGGCAGCCGAGGCGAGGAGGUGGGCGAGCUAAGCCGGGGCAAGCUCUAUUCCUUGGGCAAUGGGCGCUGGAUGCUGACCCUGGCCAAGA